rnacentral:lncRNA from 1 species
GCAAUUUUUGGUGUGUUUUGCAAUUUUUGGUGGGUUUUUGCAAUUUUUGGUGGGUUUUGGCGAAACUUGUAUGGAGUUGGAACCUUACCCUUCUUACCCAAUUACAAGUGGCGUUUUUUUAUAUUCUCCACCACCUUUUCCGGUGAUUCACCAAUGGUGGGUUUUUGCGAAACUUGUAUGGAGUUGGAACCUUACCCUUCUUACCCAAUUACAAGUGGCGUUUUUUUAUAUUCUCCACCACCUUUUCCGGUGAUUCACCAUUCUCUGCCACCACCACCACCACCACCACCACCCUCAAGGGUGUUGCUUUCAUUUCCUUUCAAC